rnacentral:rRNA from 1 species
UACGGAGGGUGCGAGCGUUGCUCGGAAUCACUGGGCGUAAAGCGUACGCAGGCUGUUUCGUAAGUCGGGUGUGAAAUCCCGGGGCUCAACCCCGGAAUUGCGCCCGAGACUGCGGAGCUUGAAUGCGGGAGAGGGAAGCGGAAUUCCUGGUGUAGAGGUGAAAUUCGUAGAUAUCAGGAGGAACACCGGUGGCGAAAGCGGCCUCCUGGCCCGACAUUGACGCUCAUGUACGAGAGCGUGGGGAGCAAACAGG